GAGGCUGAGGCAGGAGAAUGGCUUGAACCUGGGAGGCGGAGGUUGCAGUGAGCCAAGAUAGGGCACCACUGCACUCCAGCCUGGGCGACAGAGUGAUACUCUGUCUCAAAAGAGAGAGAGAGAGAAUAGCCGCCACCAUUAUUCCCCCUAGUGACCCCACUGAACUCUACUGAAAACCUUGCCUCAUCCUCCUGCCCACGCCUGGCCAACCCCACUGGGAACAGUCAUCUGCAGGGACAAGCACAAAUUCCACCCUCUGUGCUUUCCAGAUGGAUGAUGACACCACUCUGUUUGUUUAAGAACCCGUCUUUUGAUUCUCUCAUAAUUCCUCACACUGCUUCUGCAGAAUUUGUUUCUAACUCAAGAGGGAAGAAACAGGAAGAUUUCUGGCUUUUCUUUAGUUGCCUUAAGGUCAGCUUUUCAGCUGUGGCACUGAAGGGGCUUCCUGGGAAGCACCCAAGAAAAUGACAUGGGUUUACCAGACAAGAUGUCCUGUCCACCACUGGCAAAGACAGGGAGUAGCUAUUUCUCCUAUGCUGUGCCUCAAUCUUCUCACCCGGGGAAAUGGUGCUUCCCUU
rnacentral:lncRNA from 1 species